rnacentral:rRNA from 1 species
GGCUCAGGACGAACGCUGGCGGCGUGCUUAACACAUGCAAGUCGAACGGAAAGGCCCUUCGGGGUACUCGAGUGGCGAACGGGUGAGUAACACGUGGGUGAUCUGCCCUGCACUUUGGGAUAAGCCUGGGAAACUGGGUCUAAUACCGGAUAGGACCACGCGCUUCAUGGUGUGUGGUGGAAAGCUUUUGCGGUGUGGGAUGGGCCCGCGGCCUAUCAGCUUGUUGGUGGGGUAAUGGCCUACCAAGGCGACGACGGGUAGCCGGCCUGAGAGGGUGACCGGCCACACUGGGACUGAGAUACGGCCCAGACUCCUACGGGAGGCAGCAGUGGGGAAUAUUGCACAAUGGGCGCAAGCCUGAUGCAGCGACGCCGCGUGAGGGAUGACGGCCUUCGGGUUGUAAACCUCUUUCAAUAGGGACGAAGCGCAAGUGACGGUACCUAUAGAAGAAGGACCGGCCAACUACGUGCCAGCAGCCGCGGUAAUACGUAGGGUCCGAGCGUUGUCCGGAAUUACUGGGCGUAAAGAGCUCGUAGGUGGUUUGUCGCGUUGUUCGUGAAAACUCACAGCUUAACUGUGGGCGUGCGGGCGAUACGGGCAGACUAGAGUACUGCAGGGGAGACUGGAAUUCCUGGUGUAGCGGUGGAAUGCGCAGAUAUCAGGAGGAACACCGGUGGCGAAGGCGGGUCUCUGGGCAGUAACUGACGCUGAGGAGCGAAAGCGUGGGGAGCGAACAGGAUUAGAUACCCUGGUAGUCCACGCCGUAAACGGUGGGUACUAGGUGUGGGUUUCCUUCCUUGGGAUCCGUGCCGUAGCUAACGCAUUAAGUACCCCGCCUGGGGAGUACGGCCGCAAGGCUAAAACUCAAAGGAAUUGACGGGGGCCCGCACAAGCGGCGGAGCAUGUGGAUUAAUUCGAUGCAACGCGAAGAACCUUACCUGGGUUUGACAUGCACAGGACGCCAGUAGAGAUAUUGGUUCCCUUGUGGCCUGUGUGCAGGUGGUGCAUGGCUGUCGUCAGCUCGUGUCGUGAGAUGUUGGGUUAAGUCCCGCAACGAGCGCAACCCUUGUCUCAUGUUGCCAGCACGUUAUGGUGGGGACUCGUGAGAGACUGCCGGGGUCAACUCGGAGGAAGGUGGGGAUGACGUCAAGUCAUCAUGCCCCUUAUGUCCAGGGCUUCACACAUGCUACAAUGGCCGGUACAAAGGGCUGCGAUGCCGUGAGGUGGAGCGAAUCCUUUCAAAGCCGGUCUCAGUUCGGAUCGGGGUCUGCAACUCGACCCCGUGAAGUCGGAGUCGCUAGUAAUCGCAGAUCAGCAACGCUGCGGUGAAUACGUUCCCGGGCCUUGUACACACCGCCCGUCACGUCAUGAAAGUCGGUAACACCCGAAGCCGGUGGCCUAACCCUUGUGGAGGGAGCCGUCGAAGGUGGGAUCGGCGAUUGGGACGAAGUCGUAACAAG